rnacentral:rRNA from 1 species
UAGGGAAUUUUGCACAAUGGAGGAAACUCUGAUGCAGCGACGCCGCGUGAGUGAUGAAGGACUUCGGUUCGUAAAGCUCUGUCGUAUGGGAAUAAGAAAGUGAAUGUACCAUGCAAGAAAGGAUCGGCUAACUUC